GGCACUGGGAGGGUUGGUGUUGCUGCUCAGCACUGGGGCUCAAAGCCCUCCCCACACCCCCAUUAUCCUCAGCCUCCCCAGGCUCCAUCCGGCAGGAGGGAGCAGAUGGUGGGCCCUGCCUCCUGGCCUUGAGACCAGAGGACAGCCCAGGGUUUGGAGCAGGUGAAAGUCUGAGCUGCUUCUGCAAGUGCAGCCUUUGUUCCGAGGAAGCAGGGCUGCCCCGCACUCCGGUGUGCAGGGGGGCAGCUGGCUUUUCCCUUUGCAGAGCUCUGUCUCCUGUGCCGCUCCCCAGGAGGGGCGUCCUGUCUUGGGCCAGCAUGACCGCCGUCUCCCUGCUGCGGAAGGGGAGGGCCCCCUUUCUGUGGGCCUUUGUCUGUCAAAUGACGACGAGUUCUCUGGAUAGAACAAGGUUAGAAACGCCACCUGACACCGGCCUGCGAUGCCCGUCACUGUCCUGGAGCCAGAUGGAUGGAGGAGAGACCUUGGGGCUGGGCUGGGUCAGCUGACUCCAGAGUGGACACCAGGCAGUGCCCAGGGAGGGGACUCCUGGAAGAAGCCGGCCUCUUGACUUAGGGUUAAGUGUCUUCUGGUUUGAAGACACAAGAGUCUGGAUUUGCCCAAUACUUGGGGUUCUCAGCUUUUCUCCAACCUGGUUCAUCACAGAGUGACCAGCAUUGGCCUGGCAAUGGUGCCUUCACAUGGGAGCGAAAAGGACCAGCCUGAGGUGAGGAGGAUGGGUCCUGUGUCCCCACUCUCCCCUGAGCCCAGGGCCUUGCAGUGGCCUUGACCUUCAGCCCUGGGCUUCUCCCUGGCCGAGCCCCCGGCAGCAUCCCUCAGCCCAGCCCGGCCCGUUCAGCCCUGGGCUUCUCCCUGGCCGAGCCCCCGGCAGUGUCCCUCAGCCCAGCCUGGCCCGUUCAGCCUUUGGCUGGGGCCAGUCACUGAGGGUGGCUUCCCUGGGACGUCCCGGGCUUCCUUGAAGGAGCUGCUCUUAGCGCAAUUCUGCAGAUGGAUGGGGGCGUCUGUGCUGAGCCCUCCACUGUCUUGGGCUCUUCUAAUAUCACACUGAGCACUGGGCGUUGUUCGUCCCACUCUACGGAUGAGAAAGUCGGGGCUCAUGUAGGUGGAGGAAACUGCCUGAGCACCAGAACCCGGGGAGGCGCUGAGGCUGGACCGAGCCUGCUGUGCCGAGCCUGCUGUAGCCGUGUUGCUGCAUAUUUACCAGGCAGGGACUCAGUUUCCCCCGGGGUGCAACUGAGGGCUGGGCUGGGGGAUCACAAAGAGGGAGGCAGCAUGAGGUGCUUGUGGGGGCUCUGGGCUGCACGUUCCAGCAGGAGCAGGGGCGACGGCCCGCGUCUCUGAACAGGCUCUUCUAGUGGUGCUGGGCAGGACCCGGGUGUGCCCCUCCCGUGGGCCGGAGUGACUCUACAGCCCAGGCCUGGACUCCUCUUGGGCUGCACGUGAGAGCCAGGCUGUGGGGCAGGGAGCCAGAGGCAGAGGCAGAGGCAGAGGCAGGGGCGAGGCAGCUCCUCCCAGCUGCACCCCGAGACACUGGAGAAGCUGUCUCUGAGCUCUUCCCGCUUGCCGUCCAGACCAAGCGCUGAAAUCAAAGACAGAACUGAUACUCUCAGAGCCACUUCAUCGGAGAAGAUUAGGGUCAGGCAGCUGUGGGCAGCUCACGGCCGGCACGGGGUUUCCCUCUGGGAUGCCAGGAUUUGAUCUCCCUGCGCAGGAUUUUCCAUAGGAAAAGUCAGUCCCGUGCGCCUCCUUUAAGCCUUAACCAAAGAGGGGUUCCUCCGUCAGUCCUGCGGGGGCCCGUGGCCCCCAGCUGUUCCAUGUGUGCACACUUGGAACCACAUCUAAGUCCUCGCUGUCCAGAGGCCUUUUCUCAUCACCCACGCUCAUCCUCAGCCCUUCCUGCCUUCAGCCAUGCCCGAGGAUCUGCCCUGGGUGGUAGAUCUGCCCUGGGUGGAGGCUCUGCCCUGGGUGGUGGGUCUGCCCUGGGUGGUGGGUCUGGGAUGGCCAAGGCAGGUGCAGCCCUCCUGGGCCCUUCAGUCGGCUGGGGCAAGAGUUGAUCAACAGUCUCCGUGGCGGGGAACAGGAGGGACCUGUCCUGUGAGAGGGGAGUCAGGGAGGACUCUUGGGAAGAUGGUCUUUCAUUCAAGGCCUGAAUGAGAAUCAGCCAGAUGUGCCAGGGUCAGGCAGGUGGGGACGAGUGCACAGGGAGGGGCUCAGCAUCUUCUAGAACCAACCACACACCUGCAAGAGAGAAGACAGGGUAGACCCCUGCGGCCCCCUGGGGCUGAGACGGCAUUAGGACGGUACUCCAGUUGCCCCCAUCCUUUCCCGAGACCCUCCUGGACCUAAGCUCCGGGAGGCAGGAGUGCCCCGGUGUUCCGUCCUUGUCCUCACGGGACUCAGAGCCUCCCUUCACAAGAUGCCGCUGGGCUCACCUGUCCUGGUGGCUUUCCUGAGCCAGGAAUAGAGUCUUCACCUGACCUAACCUGAGGCCAUGCCCAGGCCACUCUGAAGUGAGAUCCGGCGGCCUGGGGAGGUUCAGGGGCUCAUAGGUGGCUGCGCCCAACCCUGCCACACUUCUCCUGGACCUAUCAGAGGCAUGUGCUGUGGUCAGUGCCUGGAGACAGAGCAGCUCCAGGCCACCCACCCUUCCGGUCUGCAGCAUCUCACCCCACACAAGGCCCCAGCACCACAAGCCCAUUCUCCCCAUUCCUUGGAGUGGACCCUGGUGGCAGCAUCUGCAGGGGGGUUCCAGGCAGCCUCACCGCAGGCACCAUGGAAGCACAGAAGAGCUGCCUUGUGCCAGCACAGGGCACGCAGGGACGUCUGGGUGCCCCGGCUGGCAGGCACUCUCCCCGCAGGCAGGGUCUAGUGCAUCCGUGUGUGAUGUCUGUGAUUGGGCUUGGUGCUGGGAGCGUAAUGAGGAGCCUCCCCAGCCUCCCCAGACCCUGUCGCUGAUGGGGGAAGGACACGUGGCCAUCAUAACACAUACAUCACCAAACGUGGGCUUCCAGCGCGGAGGAAGCAAAUUAAACACCGCAAACGAGCGUCAGGGUAAUUAUCCCCACCAGGUCUGGGACAGGGUCCAGGCCUCCCUGAGAACGGGGCAGACGCGUGUCGAGCGCUUAAGAGAUGGGGAACUGGGGCAAAGGUGCUGGUGCCGCAACAGCCCAGACACAGAGGAGGGUCCAGGCCGCCCCACGUCCCCAUCUGCUGCGAGGAAGAGAACGAUUUGGAGAGGAGCUGAAAGUCAAGUGAGUGCAGCCCAUGAGGGGAAGCUCGUUGAUUUAAUUCCGGAUGGUUAGGAGGCUCGGAGGUGCCAUCGGAGCCGUGAAUAUUCACGAGCCGGCAGCCUUGCCCAGGUAGCCAAGGCCAGGCUGGUGGCUGCGUUGGCUCCGCUCAUUUUUGAAACGACACAGCACUUCUGGAUUGGAGACGUGACGAGCUAUUUGUAGACAUGUCCUUGUUGAUAAGGAAACAGCGCUGGUUGACAGAACUCUCCACCCUCCGGCUCGGCUGGGCUCUUCUCCCAGGGGUGGGGCGGGGGCAGCCGAGUCCCCGGGCACUGGCGGCCCGGGUUUGGGGAAUGGGGCGUCAAGAAGCUGUGAGAGUGGAGAAGGGCCCUGGGCUGGGUCAGGCUGAACUGGGUCCCUCUCCCCAGCCCUAGGCUCUCAUCAUGGGAGUAACAGAAUAAUAAUGUCACCCCAU
rnacentral:sRNA from 1 species